rnacentral:rRNA from 1 species
CAGCAGCCGCGGGAACACCGAGGGUGCAAGCGUUAAUCGGAAUUACUGGGCGUAAAGCGCGCGUAGGUGGUUUGUUAAGUUGGAUGUGAAAUCCCCGGGCUCAACCUGGGAACUGCAUCCAAAACUGGCAAGCUAGAGUAUGGUAGAGGGUGGUGGAAUUUCCUGUGUAGCGGUGAAAUGCGUAGAUAUAGGAAGGAACACCAGUGGCGAAGGCGACCACCUGGACUGAUACUGACACUGAGGUGCGAAAGCGUGGGGAGCAAACAGGAUUAGAUACCCCAGUAGUCCCUGUCUCUUAUAC